GGUGAAUAGCCCUGAUGAGCCGCAGUGAAUAGGCCCAGGCGACUGUUUAGCAAAAACACAGGUCUCUGCGAAGCCGCAAGGCGAAGUAUAGGGGCUGACGCCUGCCCGGUGCUGGAAGGUUAAGAGGAGAGGUUAGCGCAAGCGAAGCUUUGAAUCGAAGCCCCAGUAACCGGCGGCCGAAACUAUAACGGUCCUAAGGUAGCGAAAUUCCUUGUCGGGUAAGUUCCGACCCGC
rnacentral:rRNA from 1 species